rnacentral:rRNA from 1 species
AACGAACGCUGGCGGCAUGCCUAACACAUGCAAGUCGAACGAGACCUUCGUGUCUAGUGGCGCACGGGUGCGUAACGCGUGGGAACCUGCCCUUAGGUUCGGCAUAACUCCCCGAAAGGGGUGCUAAUACCGGAUAAUGUCUUCGGACCAAAGAUUUAUCGCCUUUGGUUGGGCCCGCGUUGGAUUAGCUGGUUGGUAGGGUAAACGCCUACCAAGGCUACGAUCCAUAGCUUGUCUGAGAGGAUGUUCAGCCACACUGGGACUGAGACACGUCCCAGACUCCUCCGGUACGCAGGAGUGUGGAGUAUUGGUCUAUCAGCCAAAUACUGCUACAGCGAUGCCGUGUGAGUGAUGAAGUUCUUAGGGUUGUACUGCUAAUUUAGGCGGGCUGAUAAUGACAGUACCGGGAGAAUAAGCCCCGGCUAACUACGUG